CUGGCUUCUUCCCUGAGCGAACACACGGCUUAGCUUUGUGGCACCAACAACACGGGCAUCUCUUAGGAAGCUGCGUGCUCCAUACUUGCCACAGUGAACUGUCACCUUUCAGUGUUUAAAAGCAACAAGGACAAGUCCAGACAAAUGUGAAACCACCACUCUCGUUCAGUGGCUACUGGAUGUUUAUUACGACAUGGCUCCAACUGGGCACACAAUCCUGUGACAGUUACUGUGUCACAGAAGGUCUCCGCUUUGAGCACUAUGGCUCAUUUUACAUCGCAGAAUUUUAAAAAAUGUACACAAGGUUGGCUUUCUGAGGUUUAAAAUCAUUGUAGAAAUGAACGUGUUGAGCUGAAGGCUUCAGUAGAAAUAUCAAAGUCCAGAAAUCGUUUUCAUGUUUCUUUGUUCACGGUGUUGGUUGUGGUGGCCAAGGACCGUGGCUGCUGCCAUUUCUGUGGGACGGACGGGACAGAGGUGCGGCCCGGCGGGGCAGGAUGGUCGGCGUCUAAAACAGCUGGAUCAUCGACUCUCUGGACUUGCCGACCCCGACCCACUUCACUGCAGGGGCAGAGCAGCGUGUUCAUGGAAUGAAAUGUUCUUUAAUGUCACAUCUUUUUAUGUAGUUCAUCUAGUAAAAGGGGCUAUGUUUUCUUCAAAUGGACAUAGUUCUAAUUUUUUAGUUAUAAAGGCCGUACAUGUUCGGGGAUUAAUCCAUGUACAGCAGAGAGCAGGAGUCCCUCUCCUCCCUCGGUCCUGCCCCUUGGGAACGGCCACCUCGUCUUUAGGUGGUGUCUCCCACGGCCCUGCUGCAGGUGCAGACUCCCUUGUGCUGUGACAGGAAGCACACACUUCAGAGACGGAUGUGUCCCGUCUGUCGUUCCAGAUGCUGAGAGGUGGCUGUUCCUGGCAGGCCACACCCGCCCCUAGCUUGGGGCCCUUCUCACCUCGCUCUGAUACCUUCUCCCGGCGACCACACUCGGCUGGGUUCUUACUGUGCACCAAGCCCUGCACUGGGACGUGGGCCUCUUGGGUGCCCAGGGUCCAGGGUGAGGGACGGGUGGCCGGGGGAUGCAGGGCACCCACCUGCGACUCCCACGUGGUUUUCCACGAAGCGGACGUAGUUCUGGGCCUGUGGGGGCAGGUCCUCCCACCUCCUGGCGCCUGUGGUGUCUGCCUUCCAGCCAGGCAGCGUCUCGUAUUCGACCUCAACCUUCUGGAGUAUCUCCUGGUUAGCUGGGAAACACAGAUGAGCGGGUCCCACAGACGUUUGGUGACACAGCGGCCCCCACCCCAGGGCCUGCUUGCCCAGGGCGGGCAAGGCACUGCUUGGUUUUCCGUGUUGGGUGGUGAGUGGGAGCUGGCAGGCGUCUGGCACGCUGGCUGUACCACUUCCAGGCCAGGGACACGCCCACCCUCGACACGUGUUGGCCAACUGCUAAAACCUCCACGGUGACAUCAGCUGAGGAAAUGCAAGGCCCUGCCUGGAAAUUCUAAGAUUCUAGAAUCCUGAAGCCUUAAGGGAUGCCUAAGGAUCCAUGUCCCCUCACCCCGAGAGCAUCAGCUCCCUGGGGGCAGGGACUCUGUGCGGGGUCUGCAGCUCAGGGUAGGAGCCAGUCACCCCUUACUGACAGAAGAUGCUGGAACAGGAUUCCUGCUACAGUGGUUUUCUUUUCUUUUUUUUCUUUUUUUAUUUCAGGAUGCUGCAGUGGCUUUCGAGCCAUGGAGCCAGGCAGGGUCUGCCCGGGGCUGUGGACCACCACGAGGAGACUUAGCAGCCUCAGCGGUGUGCCCUCACAGGGGUCAGAGGUCAUAGGGCCAGGGACACUGCCCAGAGGACGCACAAGGGUCCUGAGGCCAAGUGCCACUUCGGGACCUCCAUGGGUCUGCUCAGAGGCGGGCAGGGAACAUGGACUGGUGCUGGCGGGCCAGGCUCUUGAACCUGCAGGAGCCACCGUUGCCACGGCUGCCCUGGGGCCAGGGCGCCUGGUGGCCGCCCCGCUCGCCAGGCUCUCGCUGGCCCCUCCCCCACCCCCGGGCUGAGGGCCCAGGCACCUGGUGGAAAACUCGUCAAAGUCCGACAGGAGGUCACAGAUGCGGAGGCCCGUCCGGGCAGCUUUGGAUGAGUAGCUUCCCUCUCUGGGCCCAGCAUGCGGACGCUGCGCUCAGAGCCCGUCGGCUGCUGCCUCCCCAGCCUGGACCCCGCUGCCUGCCAGGCUGAGCCACCCGGAGCUCAGCGCGGCACCGUCUGGCCACACUGUGUGUGCACUUGUACGGGCCCCGGACCUGGCCGGCGUGCAGGAGCAGAGCACCCAUGCAGAUGGGACGGCGGCAACGUACUUACUUCUUGCCCUCCUGUGCUUGGCGCUGCACUUCCUGGAGUCCGUCCACAGCCUGGUGAAAAUCGAACACUGUCGGGCCGGGCGGGGGCACCAGGGGACGAGAGAGAAGCAGAGGACAGAGGUUUACAUGGGGGCCUCACCUGCCACGCCCAGGUCUCCCGGGAAGGGGGUGGUUGCGGUUUGAGAGAGGACGGAAUGCGCUGGACACCCCGAGUCCUGCCCUGCUCUACAGAGACUCAGUGUCCCCGUCUGCAGACGGGCUCGUGAUCCCUGGCCCAGCCCCCGCCUCGCAGCUCUUUGGAAGGGGCGGAGAGGGUGUGCCCGGAGCCCUGAGCCCUGGGGGGCGGGCGUGCGGAGCUCUGGGCCCACCGAGGGUGCCUUACCGAGGUGGGCUCUGUCAGAGAUGAUGAGCCUCUUCUCCCAGUCCUUCAGCCCUGCGGGGACACGGCACAGGGGGUCGGCAUCAUCACAGGUGGGCCUCGGCUCCCUCAGGGAAGGCUUGUGGGAAGGAGCCACGUGGUCCCCUCUUGUGCUGGAGGCCACAGACCACCUCGGUGCCCCUUCUGCUGAGGCUCCCGGGCCCUCAGGGGCCAUGCCUCCCCCCUCCCCGCAGCUGCCAGUGGGCUUGUCCUGCUCCAGGCUGGGGCGCUGGGGCUGCUCUGAGUGCCCGGCCUUCCCCCUGCCGCAGCCGCGCUGGAGGUGGCCUGCUCCCCUCAGGGCCUCAGUCUGGGUACCUCCUGGUGCCCGUGUUCCCAGAAUCGGGUUCCAUGCCCUCCUCUCACCCUGACCGGGAGCCCUGAGGCUGGAGCUCUGCCUCCUCCCAGGCCCCUGCCUCGAGACAGCCCGCCGUAGUCUGACCUGCCCACGCCCUGGCUGCGGGUCUCCACCUGCCUGUGUGCCCGGCAACACGCCUGCUGGGCCCCAGGAGCCACGUCCCUCCCUGCCGGCAUGGUUGACCCAGUUGUCCCCAAUCCCAGCUGCACACCAGGGGCCCUAGCUCCCUCCGGGACUUCCUGGGUGUGAGUCUUCAGGGCCGGCUGGCCAGGUGCGCAGGCAGCAGCCACGGUGGGCCUGGGGCCUCCUGGCAGGACCCCCCCUGAUGCACGGGCAGAGCCAGCGGGCGGGAGCGGGGCCAGCGUCACCAGGCCAGGGCCUGCCCAUCCCCCCGUGGGAGAGACUCUCACAGAGGUGCCCGUGAAGGACACCACGGCCAGGACAGAGCAAGUCUGCAGGGACACGGACCCACCUUUCUUCUCGUUCUUCUCAGCUUCCUCAAACAGGCCUGGCAGGUGAAUGACCACCCCGUUGCCUGCAACACAUGGCGCGGGAGAGCCAGCUGCAGUCAGUGCGCCAGGGGCACACCCGCCCACAGCAGCCCUGCUCGCAGGGGCCACGCAGUGUCCACGGACAGACGGACGCAGUGGCAUGGGGUGUCCACGGACAGACGGACGGAGUGGCACGGUGUGGCCUGUCCACACAGUGGAGUGUGCAGACAGGAAACCCUGACACAUGCCCUGACGUGGUGCCCUUGGAGGGCGUGAAGCCAAGCCAGGUAAACCACCUACAGGUGGUCCCAGAGUGCUCGAAACCGCAGCAACAGGAAGCAGGAUGCGGGUGCCGGGGCCUGGGAGUUGUUUGCUGUUGCGGGUUUCAGUUUGGGAAGGUGAAAAGUUCCGGAGACGGACACUCCCUGGUAUUUACCCCAAAGGAGUUGAAGACUUACACCCACACAAAACCCGCACACGAGUGUUUACAGCAGCUUUAUUCAUAAUUGCCACAGCCUGGCGCCCCAUGGGAGGUGCGUGGAUAGAAGAACCGGGGCCACCCAGACAAUGGGAUUUUACUCAGUGCUGAAAAGAAACGGGCUCUCGAGCCGUGACAAGACACAGGGAAAGCUACACGCAUGUUUCUGGGGAGGAGCCCGUCUGGCAGGCUCGGCACUGCCUGGCGCCAGCCGCAUGACAUUCCGGAAGAGGCAAAACUAGGGAGACAGGACAGACAGCUGCCACCAGGGGCUGGGGCGGGAGGGGGAACAGGUGGAGCACUGGGGGUCGCAGGGCAGCGAACCUGCCCCGUGUGACACCACAGAGGGGCACACAUGUCACCGCACGUCGGCUCAAACGCACCAACGCACGACACCGAGUGACCCCUCCUGUCAAUCAUGAUGGGACGUGCCAGGGCAGGUUCCCCGACUGUGACACACGCACUGCCGGGGGCAGAGGGGGGCUGAUCGUGGGGCGGCUGUGCGUGUUGGCGGGGCACAGGGGGAAUCUCCACACCAGCCGCUCGAUUUUGCUGUGAACCUAAAACUGGUCUUUAAAAUAAAGUCUAU